AGGACGAACGCUGGCGGCGUGCCUAAUACAUGCAAGUCGAGCGGACUUAAAAAGCUUGCUUUUUAAGUUAGCGGCGGACGGGUGAGUAACACGUGGGCAACCUGCCUGUAAGACUGGGAUAACUUCGGGAAACCGGAGCUAAUACCGGAUAAUCCUUUUCUACUCAUGUAGAAAAGCUGAAAGACGGUUUACGCUGUCACUUACAGAUGGGCCCGCGGCGCAUUAGCUAGUUGGUGAGGUAACGGCUCACCAAGGCGACGAUGCGUAGCCGACCUGAGAGGGUGAUCGGCCACACUGGGACUGAGACACGGCCCAGACUCCUACGGGAGGCAGCAGUAGGGAAUCUUCCGCAAUGGACGAAAGUCUGACGGAGCAACGCCGCGUGAGUGAUGAAGGUUUUCGGAUCGUAAAACUCUGUUGUUAGGGAAGAACAAGUACGAGAGUAACUGCUCGUACCUUGACGGUACCUAACCAGAAAGCCACGGCUAGCUACGUGCCAGCAGCCGCGGUAAUACGUAGGUGGCAAGCGUUGUCCGGAAUUAUUGGGCGUAAAGCGCGCGCAGGCGGUCCUUUAAGUCUGAUGUGAAAGCCCACGGCUCAACCGUGGAGGGUCAUUGGAAACUGGGGAACUUGAGUGCAGAAGAGGAAAGUGGAAUUCCACGUGUAGCGGUGAAAUGCGUAGAGAUGUGGAGGAACACCAGUGGCGAAGGCGACUUUCUGGUCUGUAACUGACACUGAGGCGCGAAAGCGUGGGGAGCAAACAGGAUUAGAUACCCUGGUAGUCCACGCCGUAAACGAUGAGUGCUAAGUGUUAGAGGGUUUCCCGCCCUUUAG
rnacentral:rRNA from 1 species